UAUAAUGGAAAUAAAAUAAUUGAAGGGGCU
rnacentral:piRNA from 1 species